CGGACCUGGGGCUUAGAGCCCUAGGCUUUCCAGGGACUACGACUCACCUUACCUUCUGGACCGUUCACAAAGUGGCAUUUGUCUCCCGCCACUUCUAAGAAGAAAAGGCCUAGAAGUUCAUAAAAAGGAGUGCCAUUGGCUGCUUCUGUGGGCUCCAGCUCACCCACCUCCUGAGAGCCAUUUGGAAAGAGAAGAGGACUAUGUAAGGACUCCAGUCACUGAAAAAAAUGUGUGCACUUCUACCUGACACUUGAGUACUCACUCCUAAGGACAUCUUUCCUGUUGACCUUUACCAUCACAUCUACUUGUGGAGGAGAAGCACUUUAAAGGAAAACCACCUGUCUCCUCAAGGCUAGCCUCACAAAUCUAUGAAGUGACACUGAGUGCCACAGCUCAAUCUCUCACGUGUGACCAAGAGAGCACCAGGGAGGCGUAUUUCCAGGGGAUGAAGUGCCUGGCAUUUCAUCACGUUGGGUAUUCUCCCCUCUAUCUACUAUGAUAGCUGGCAAAGAGUAGCAUGAGCCCCCUGCCUUUUCCCAGUAAGGAAAUCUCCCACAAGAAUCCAUUUAGCCUCAUUUCCUCAGAAAUGUUUGUUCCAUUUAUUUAAAGUUUUGUUUGUGUUAUGAUGGUUCUGCCACAUGACCAGAAACUGAGCACUGUUUGCAUAGACGGACCAUAAUACAGGAAACAGAUAAAAUGUGUGAUAGCCAAUUUGACAUAUAUUUUAAAUAACAGAUAUUUAUAUGGUUGUUAUUUCACUUCUGGAUAAUUAGAUGAUUUAUGCAUGUUAUAAUGAUCAGCAUUGUUUUAUAGUUCUAAAACCCAAGCAUGCACGGAGUCAUCAUGGAGCAAGAGAAGAAUUUAGAAAUCACCAACGCUUUGGUUAAGAAUGCACAUUAUUUUGCAGUUCUUUGGGGAGCGAAGACAACCUUGACUGAGGUAUAAUGUUGACUCACCCUGUGAAUCCACUGACUAGAAACGCUGUUGAAGAAAAAUCACAUACUUAUGCCAAAAAGCAAGGCAUAGAAGACAGAAGCAGAUUUACUGAGAGACUGAGCAUGAACAGAACUGCUCCAAGACCCAGAAGACAUCACAGUGAGGAGAGACUUCCUCUGAGAUUCUUAUAGAAUCCAACAGUGCUCUGCUCCCUCGGGGAGCUGCAGCUAUGGGAACAUGGGUAUGGUGCCAUAUACCCAUCAGUCAUAGCAACAGGAGAGCUUCUUCAGACUACUUUGAUGGUAGUGACGUUAGCCUGAGGAAGCCAGAACCAGAAAGGAAGAAUAUGAAGAUGUCACACUGGGAGUGUGGGCACCUGUGAGGCCUCCCUUUGGAGACCGGCAGACAUAAUUGCAAGACACUUGCAUGCUGAGGUCUUGUAAACAUACUGCUGGAGGCAUUGUAAUUCGGGCAUUAAUAAUA